UUACGACCAUAUUACAUUGAAACACGGUUUCGCAUACGGCCACUGAAGUUAAGCAACGGUUGCAUGGCCAGUACCUAGAUGGGUGACCGCUUGGGAGUAGCAGGUGCUGUAA